rnacentral:rRNA from 1 species
UACAGAGGGUGCGAGCGUUAAUCGGAAUUACUGGGCGGAAAGAGCUCGUAGGCGGUCUGUUGCGUCUGCUGUGAAAACCCGGGGCUUAACCCCUGGCUUGCAGUGGAUACGGACAGACUAGAGGUAGGUAGGGGAGAAUGGAAUUCCCGGUGUAGCGGUGAAAUGCGCAGAUAUCGGGAGGAACACCGGUGGCGAAGGCGGCAUCCUGGACCGGCAUUGACGCUGAGGCGCGAAAGCGUGGGGAGCAAACGGG